rnacentral:rRNA from 1 species
CCUACGGGUGACUGCAGUGAUGAAUAUUGGUCAAUGGACGAGAGUCUGAACCAGCCAAGUAGCGUGAAGGAUGACUGCCCUGUGGGUUGUAAACUUCUUUUAUAUGGGAAUAAAACGUUCCACGUGUGGGAUUUUGUAUGUACCAUAUGAAUAAGGAUCGGCUAACUCCGUGCCAGCAGCCGCGGUAAUACGGAGGAUCCGAGCGUUAUCCGGAUUUAUUGGGUUUAAAGGGUGCGUAGGUGGCUUGUUAAGUCAGUUGUGAAAGUUUGCGGCUCAACCGUCAGAUAGCAGUUGAAACUGGCAGUCUGGAGUACGAUAGAGGUGCGCGGAAUGCGUGGUGUAGCGGUGAAAUGCUUAGAUAUCGCGAAGAACUCCGAUUGCGAAGGCAGUUCACUGGCCUGCAACUGACACUGAGGCUCGAAAGUGUGGGUAUCGAACAGGAUUAGAUACCCGUGUAGUC